AUAAGCUCUGUGGCAUCAAUUCACCCUCCAGAAGAAACCCAAAUAGCAACACAGGAUGAAGGUCAAGGAUUAACUGAUGCUAAUGGAAAUGUUCCCAGUGACCGUCCAGAUAAAAUAUUGUAUCCCAGCUGAUGAGGCCGGCACAUGAUGACAACACUACAAGCACCAAGAAAAUUGAUGCGAUGGCCUGUCUUAAGUUGGCUUCCUCUAUUGGUCUUUUAUCUGACAAGACACCUUUGGCAAAGUCUCAUCAAUAUGCUACUUUUCAUCUGCCUGACACUGAAAUCAAUGGACUGCAGAAGAAGCCUCUCGAUCAGCAUUGUCAGAAAUGAUCACCAUGCUGGACGGAGCAUGCUACCUGAUUUCUCCUGACUGAACUCCCACAAAAGCAUGGCUGCAAAUCCCAGAGAAAGAAGAAAGAGAACUUACAUAAAGGAGGCUUUCUGGAGAACUCGCUGUAAGAGGGUCAAUGCGGAAAUAUGGAAUGUGCUUAGGAGUCCACUGAAGCAGUCCAGUCCACCCCUGCAGGGAUGCCUUUCCCAGCCUGCAUGGAUUCUGACACUGGACACCCUGCUGUGGACCAUCUUCAACCUGCUUAGGCUCUGGACCACUGCAGUCCAUCUCCGACACACACAUACCUCGGAUGCUUGCCUUGCUCUGCCCCACUUCACGAUUUAGGACCGAAUUUUUCAGGAAGGAAAGAGAAGAGCUCUGAAAGACUUUUAACAGAAAAUAAAGGGCUUCUAGGAUGUCUACAGACUUGUAGUUUGUCAUUUUCUAAUCUUAAUGUUUAUAACUAAUAUUUUAGUAUGAAUUAUUAAUUUAUCUGAGGUGAAUAAAAUUCACUGAGUUCAUUGGUAUCUCAUAAGAUGUAAAACUAGUUCUUCUGAUAUUCUGGAGAAAUGUUUAUUUUAUCUGAUAUCUGUCUUCUAUGAGCAGAUGGAGUGAGCCAUUCAUAUUUUUUUUUCAUUUUGAAGAAGACCGAGGUCUGGAAAAGCUUCAAAAAUUGCGGGUCUAUAGCAAUUGAUUAAUAAUUAAUAGUAAGCCAUGUGACAUUCUAGCAUGUCACUUAGUAAUCACCAU
rnacentral:lncRNA from 1 species